UGCUUGGAGGCAAUACGGAUGGACUCCUACGUCAGAUCGAAGAGUGGUCGCCUCGUAUCUGGCACAUCCUGUAUGUGGCACUUCACAUGCUCUGAGCUCGCUGAUGUGUGGUUGCUGACCAAGAAGCCGGGUUGGUGCAUGGAAUGGAGAUGAAAUUAAGAGUAGCUUAACUAAUUAUAGACUAGAUCGCACUGGUUAUUGUAAUCCUAUCUAUCUAUCUAUCAAUAGAUCUAGUACUUUGUCUUUAUUUGGCGGGCUGGUAAACAGACAAACACACAAAUGGCCAAACAAACAAACUAGAGGAGGAUUCUGCUGCCCAGCUUGGCGCGACCAACACCAAUGUCUUGUACUGGGAUAUCUCCAUCUCCUGGCAAUCGUUCCUUGAUUGAUGGUGCGACAUCGUACCGGGGCAUCUUCUAAGCAACGAUGAAUGAAUGUAUUGGUGUUGGGGGGUUGAAAAUGAAACCAGGAAUUGUGUUU